AUCUGGGACCAGGCUAGCUCUAACACACUCUAAUCUACUGAUCAGCACAAACUGAUCUGGGACCAGGCUAGCUCUAACACACUCUAAUCUACUGAUCAGCACAAACAGAUCUGGGACCAGGCUAGCUCUAACACACUCUAAUCUACUGAUCAGCACAAACUAAUCUGGGACCAGGCUAGCUCUAACACACUCUAAUCUACUGAUCAGCACAAACUGAUCUGGGACCAGGCUAGCUCUAACACACUCUAAUCUACUGAUCAGCACAAACUGAUCUGGGACCAGGCUAGCUCUAACACACUCUAAUCUACUGAUCAGCACAAACUGAUCUGGGACCAGAAUAGCUCUAACACACUCUAAUCUACUGAUCAGCACAAACUAAUCUGGGACCAGGCUAGCAAAAGCCUGCCACACAGUAUCUCUUCAGGCGGCGGUUUUGACCACCUCUUGCCUUACUGUAGGACUUCCUGAAAUAGGUUUCAAGGUUUCAUACGAGUUCACAUGGGGACAUUCGUCACAUGAUGCAUUCUGAAAAUUGUACAAACAAUGCGUUAAUCCACAUCAGAUUAAAAUCCCAAAAGAUACAUUUUCGCAAAAAUGUAAUGAUCUAUUCCAGAGUAUUGAUUAUUGAGUAUUGAUUAUUGACUCUUUAGAGGGUUUAAGAACACAUUUUAAUCCGUUUUAUUAGAAUUGAUCAGACCGAAUAUUGAACAGUGACUUUGGGAUCAUGGGUAGUAUUAUCAUGAAGCACUUUUGUGUUGUGCCAAAAAAUUAAUAAA
ensembl:lncRNA